UGACUAAGAUGAGUGCUAAUACCACAGGU
rnacentral:piRNA from 1 species